rnacentral:rRNA from 1 species
CAACUUUCAGCAGUGGAUGUCUAGCUCGCACAUCGAUGAAAGAAACGCUUGCGAAUUGCAGAAUUCAGUGAGUCAUCGAAAUUUUGAACGCACAUUGCACUUUCGGGUUAUGCCUGGAAGUAUGCCUGUAUCAGUGUCCGUA